GAGAAAUAAUAAACCCGGACACUGACCAAAUAGAAAACGUCCCACGCGAAGUCUUCAAGCCUUGUCCAAUCGGAAAUCCUCGUUAUAAGUCAAACCUGAAAGCACCUGAAAGACAAAGAACAGGCAAUCAUUUCAUCCAUUUAAGAAAAGUGUGACAACGCAUAAAUGGCCAGCACCACAGCGAGGAUUUGCUGUAAAUGAACCACAGGUGCAAGAUCAUCUCUUCAAAGUGAUCAUGUUUUAGGUAACAAUAAGUGACAGUGUAAUGCUCCUAUUUACAACAAAACAUGUAAUGUACUUAUAUUCUAAUUCAAUUUUAUUAUUUGCAUCUAAACAAGUGCCUAAAUGUAUAAAACUCCACUAAAAUGCAGAUGCCAAUGUAAAAUUACAUAUUGAGAUCACAAAUGACAGGUUAACAUAUAUACAACUUUUAGAAUGGGAAUAUGACAUUUGCAUUCUCCUCUAAAUGGGUGAUUUAAUAUAAAUGUAUGUGAACUGUGUUCUGGCAUAUUAUACAGGACAGGUAGAGCUGGCUUGGACACGUCGGUUUCGGUUUGUAUCAGGAGAAAUUAUCAAGUAAACAUUCAGAAAUUCCAGUUAAAUUAACUGCACAGAUUUACUGUGUUGGUGAUAUGCGAGAGUUGAUAGAUCAUGUCAUCUAAACCAUCUCAUAAAAUGUUUGGUGGAAAUGUGUCUGGUCUGUUUUUAUCCCCAUAACUCACCCAAGCAAGCAUGUAAGAUAUAAUCUCCAAAAAAAAAAA